rnacentral:ncRNA from 1 species
UCUCCAAACGGUGAUGGAGUUCACCGGAAAAACCACCCGUAAGGGUUGAUGACUCCUACCAAGGA